GCAUGGAGGCCUCUCUUGAGGUCAGGCAAGCGGGGGAAGGGGGAGGAGCAAGGUCUGAGUUCAGACCUCCAGGGCACUAUACUUCACGGAGCUGGAAGCCCAGUCAGGUCCCUGAUCAUGAUACCUGCUGGGAUCUCUGCAGGUCUUCUUUAUCUGGGUUACUGCAGGGAUUCUACCUUGAGCUUGCCAUAAACUGCUGUAGGGGUCUGACAGAAAUUUUCAGUGCAGAAGUGAAAAGAAAAAAACACGAAACCAAAACAGCAAAGACUCCAUGGGACAAGGGUAGAGAAGCCAGGAAGCCAGAGGCACUGUUGCAGCCAGCUGCAGGCUGUGAGCCGCCUACAGCACCAAGGGAGGAUAUACAUAUAGCCACAUGAGAAGAAAGAAUAUAAAAUUGUAAUUCUUGGAAUGAUUUUUGAGAAAAAUGUUUGAAUAUCACUUACCUCUGAGGCAGUUCUUUUGGAAAUUAUAAAUAUAUUUCUUUCUGGGGACAAAAGAAUGCCCAUCAAAAUGAAAGAUGAAGCAUGGAAUCUGAAUUCACAGCUGCUUUAUGCAAUAUGGAAGAAGUGCAGGGUUUCUCAUUUCAGUUUUCUUCUCAAAGAUUUAUAGAUAGAAGCCUAAAAUGAUAUAUUUAAAUUCUUUUAUAUUCUCUUGUCUGGCUGUGUAAAUGAUUGCAAUCAAUCAGGUUUUUUUUUUUUUUUUUGUUCAAGAAGAACCUUGAAAUGACAAUAUGAAAAUUUUUCACAUGUAAUUUCAGUUAUACAGUGGGAAAUGACUGACAGCUUAGCAGUGUCUCACUGUGGCAAGAAUAUGAUGGUAUUUUUGAGCAAAUAGUUUUACUUAAGAAAAGUAAAGUUACAAUAAGUUGACUUUUUAAAGUUUUCCUGGAAAAUGAUUCUGAAUAUCAC
rnacentral:lncRNA from 1 species